rnacentral:rRNA from 1 species
AGUGGCGAACGGGUGAGUAACACGUGGGUAACCUACCAUAUAGACAGGGACAACAGUUGGAAACGACUGCUAAUACCUGAUAACAUAAGCUAUCGCAUGAUAGGUUAUGGAAAGGGGCGUAUGCCUCACUAUGUGAUGGACCCGCGGCGCAUUAGCUAGUUGGUGAGAUAAAAGCUCACCAAGGCGACGAUGCGUAGCCGACCUGAGAGGGUGAACGGCCACAUUGGGACUGAGACACGGCCCAGACUCCUACGGGAGGCAGCAGUAGGGAAUUUUCCACAAUGGGGGCAACCCUGAUGGAGCAAUGCCGCGUGAGAGAAGAAGGCCUUCGGGUUGUAAAUCUCUGUUGUAAGGGAAGAAAAUUGAUAAGAGGAAAUGCUUAUUAAGUGACGGUACCUUACCAGAAAGCCACGGCUAACUACGUGCCAGCAGCCGCGGUAAUACGUAGGUGGCGAGCGUUAUCCGGAAUUAUUGGGCGUAAAGGGUGCGCANGCGGNUGUAAAA